UAGAAGCAGAGUUGAAAUCGUUUCUGAAACAGCUGGAAAAAGGUGUACUCCGCCAUGUUCUCCUGGAUCUCUUGAAAUGUCUUGUAGCUGGUUUCCGGGAGUACCCAGAAAAUGUACAAAAAGGUGAAGAUCAGAAAAGGCGAGCAAAGCAGCAAGAAGUAGGUCUCAAGGUGUACUCCGCCAUGUUCUCCUGGAUCUCUUGAAAUGUCUUGUAGCUGGUUUCCGGGAGUACCCAGAAAAUGUACAAAAAGGUGAAGAUCAGAAAAGGCGAGCAAAGCAGCAAGAAGUAGGUCUCAAGAUCCAGGGACUGGUUAAGAUUUGGACCAGAAGGUAUUCCCCACAUGAAGAAGAGGAACAAAGUGGUCACCAAGGCUCCCCUCAUAUUCAAGGAAGAGAUUUCAAGGAUGUAGAGAGGGGAAGAGUAAAUAAGUGUUCCUGUGGAAUAAAUUAAACAUUGCAUCAUG